UACGUAGGGUGCGAGCGUUGUCCGGAAUUAUUGGGCGUAAAGGGCUCGUAGGCGGUUUGUCGCGUCGGGAGUGAAAACCAGGUGCUUAACACCUGGCUUGCUUUCGAUACGGGCAGACUAGAGGUAUGCAGGGGAGAACGGAAAUUCCUGGUGUAGCGGUGAAAUGCGCCAGAUAUCAGGAGGAACACCGGUGGCGAAGGCGGUUCUCUGGGCAUGACCUGACGCUGAGGAGCGAAAGUGUGGGGAGGCGAACAGG
rnacentral:rRNA from 1 species